rnacentral:rRNA from 1 species
AACGAACGCUGGCGGCAUGCCUAACACAUGCAAGUCGAACGAGACCUUCGGGUCUAGUGGCGCACGGGUGCGUAACGCGUGGGAAUCUGCCCUUGGGUUCGGAAUAACAGUUGGAAACGACUGCUAAUACCGGAUGAUGACGUAAGUCCAAAGAUUUAUCGCCCAGGGAUGAGCCCGCGUAGGAUUAGCUAGUUGGUGGGGUAAAGGCCUACCAAGGCGACGAUCCUUAGCUGGUCUGAGAGGAUGAUCAGCCACACUGGGACUGAGACAAGGCCCAGACGCCUACGGGAGGCAGCAGUGGGGAAUAUUGGACAAUGGGCGAAAGCCUGAUACAGCAAGGCCGCGUGAGUGAUGAAGGCCUUAGGGUUGUAAAGCUCUUUUACCCGGGAUGAUAAUGACAGUACCGGGAGAAUAAGCCCCGGCUAACUCCGU